rnacentral:rRNA from 1 species
CCUUUGUACACACCGCCCGUCGCUACUACCGAUUGAAUGGCUUAGUGAGGCUUCAGGAUUGGCUUAAAGCAGGAGGCAACUCCAGCUUGGAGCCGAGAAUCUAGUCAAACUUGGUCAUUUAGAGG